rnacentral:rRNA from 1 species
ACGGGAGGAAGCAGUGGGGAAUAUUGCACAAUGGGCGCAAGCCUGAUGCAGCGAUGCCGCGUGAGGGAAGAAGGUUUUCGGAUUGUAAACCUCUGUCACCGGGGACGAUAAUGACUGUACCCGAGAAGGAAGCCCCGGCUAACUACGUGCCAGCAGCCGCGGUAAUACGUAGGGAGCGAGCGUUAUCCGGAAUUACUGGGUGUAAAGGGAGUGUAGGCGGGACUGUAAGUCAGAUGUGAAAUAUGCCGGCUCAACUGGCAGACUGCAUUUGAAACUGCGGUUCUUGAGUGAAGUAGAGGUAAGCGGAAUUCCUAGUGUAGCGGUGAAAUGCGUAGGUAUUAGGAGGAACAUCAGUGGCAAAGGCGGCUUACUGGGCUUUAACUGACGCUGAGGCUCGAAAGCGUGGGGAGCAAACAGGAUUAGAUACCCUGGA